rnacentral:rRNA from 1 species
UACGAAGGGUGCAAGCGUUACUCGGAAUUACUGGGCGUAAAGCGUGCGUAGGUGGUUUGUUAAGUCUGAUGUGAAAGCCCUGGGCUCAACCUGGGAAUUGCAUUGGAUACUGGCAGGCUAGAGUGCGGUAGAGGGUAGUGGAAUUCCCGGUGUAGCAGUGAAAUGCGUAGAGAUCGGGAGGAACACCAGUGGCGAAGGCGAGUCCCUAGACACUUCCUGACACUGAGGCACGAAAGCUAGGGGAGCAAACAGG